rnacentral:rRNA from 1 species
UACAGAGGGGGCAAGCGUUGUUCGGAAUUACUGGGCGUAAAGGGCGCGUAGGCGGCCUGCUAAGUCGAACGUGAAAUCCCCAGGCUCAACCUGGGAACUGCGUCCGAUACUGGAUGGCUUGAAUUCGGGAGAGGGAUGCAGAAUUCCAGGUGUAGCGGUGAAAUGCGUAGAUAUCUGGAGGAAUACCGGUGGCGAAGGCGGCAUCCUGGACCGACAUUGACGCUGAGGAGCGAAAGCUAGGGGAGCAAACGGG